GUCCACGCCCUAAACGAUGUCAACUGGUUGUUGGGAGGGUUUCUUCUCAGUAACGAAGCUAACGCGUGAAGUUGACCGCCUGGGGAGGUACGGCCGCAAGGUUGAAACUACAAAGGAAUUGACGGGGACCCGGCACAAGCGGUGGAUGAUGUGGUUUAAUUCGAUGCAACGCGAAAACCUUAACCUACCCUUGACAUGUCUGGAAAUCCUGAAGAGAUUUGGGAGUGCUCGAAAGAGAGCCAGAACACAGGUGCUGCAUGGCCGUCGU
rnacentral:rRNA from 1 species